UCGCAAUAGGAAACAAAAAGGCAUCUUUUUGUUUUUAAAAGACCUUCUUAUGAAGGUAUGCUUAAAGAGGGGCUUGCGCCACAUUAGUUAGUUGGUAGAGUAAAAGCCUACCAAGACGAUGAUGUGUAGCUGGACUGAGAGGUUGAACAGCCACAUUGGGACUGAGACACGGCCCAAACUCCUACGGGAGGCAGCAGUAGGGAAUUUUCGGCAAUGGAGGAAACUCUGACCGAGCAACGCCGCGUGAACGAUGAAGUAUUUCGGUAUGUAAAGUUCUUUUAUUGAAGAAGAAAAAGUAGUGGAAAAACUAUAUUGACGUUAUUCAAUGAAUAAGCCCCGGCUAACUAUGUGCCAGCAGCCGCGGUAAGACAUAGGGGGCGAGCGUUAUCCGGAAUUAUUGGGCGUAAAGGGUGCGUAGGCUGUUAGAUAAGUCUAUAAUUUAAUUUCAGUGCUUAACGCUGUCUUGUUAUAGAAACUGUCUUGACUAGAGUGAGAUAGAGGCAAGCGGAAUUCCAUGUGUAGCGGUAAAAUGUGUAAAUAUAUGGAGGAACACCAGAAGCGUAGGCGGCUUGCUGGGUCUUUACUGACGCUGAGGCACGAAAGCGUGGGUAGCAAACAGGAUUAGAUACCCUGGUAGUCCACGCCGUAAACGAUGAGUACUAAGUGUCGGGGUAAAACUCGGUACUGAAGUUAACACAUUAAGUACUCCGCCUGAGUAGUACGUACGCAAGUAUGAAACUUAAAGGAAUUGACGGGACUCCGCACAAGCGGUGGAUCAUGUUGUUUAAUUCGAAGAUACACGAAAAAUCUUACCAGGUCUUGACAUACUCUGCAAAGCUAUAGAAAUAUAGUGGAGGUUAUCAGGGAUACAGGUGGUGCAUGGUUGUCGUCAGUUCGUGUCGUGAGAUGUUAGGUUAAGUCCUAAAACGAGCGCAACCCUUGUCGUUAAUUGCCAGCACGUAAUGGUGGGGACUUUAGCGAGACUGCCAAUUAAACAUUGGAGGAAGGUGAGGAUUACGUCAAAUCAUCAUGCCCCUUAUGAUCUGGGCUACAAACGUGAUACAAUGGCUGUGACAAAGAGUAGCUGAAACGCGAGUUUUUAGCCAAUCUCAAAAAAGCAGUCUCAGUUCGGAUUGAAGUCUGUAACUCGACUUCAUGAAGUUGGAAUCGCUAGUAAUCGCGAAUCAGCAUGUCGCGGUGAAUACGUUCGCCUUGC
rnacentral:rRNA from 1 species